rnacentral:rRNA from 2 species
CGUGCUACAAUGGACAAUACAAAGGGCAGCGAAACCGCGAGGUCAAGCAAAUCCCAUAAAGUUGUUCUCAGUUCGGAUUGUAGUCUGCAACUCGACUACAUGAAGCUGGAAUCGCUAGUAAUCGUAGAUCAGCAUGCUACGGUGAAUACGUUCCCGGGUCUUGUACACACCGCCCGUCACACCACGAGAGUUUGUAACACCCGAAGCCGGUGGAGUAACCUUUUAGGAGCUAGCCGUCGAAGGUGGGACAAAUGAUUGGGGUGAAGUCGUAACAAGGUAGCCGUAUCGGAAGGUGCGGCUGGAUCACCUCCUUU